CGCCGAUUUGCGGGGGAGGAAUGUGGUGUCACCGCCAGACACCACACUUGCUAGGUGGUAGUUUAAAUCGGCCGCGGUCCAUGUAGUACAUGUCGGACCCGCGUGUCGCCACUGUGAUCGCAGACCUAGCGCCACCACCAAGGCAGGUCUCGUGAUACGAGAGUGGACUCGACCCCAGUUGUACGAGAGCCUAGAUACCGCCCAGUUGUACGCUACCCUAGCUAUCGCCCAGUGGUACGAAGCCAUUCUCUCUCAUUAGCCGAGAGACAGAAUAGCCAUCAGAAGUUAAUGGCUACGAACUAACAAGGAGCCAUUUGUAUCAGUGCCUAUAGCUUACGAGUAUUCAAGAGAGAUGUAUUCCAAGGAAUCAAUAAAAGUUAAGUAAAAAG